rnacentral:rRNA from 1 species
AUGGUGUAGCAAUACACCGGAAGAUUUAGUGGCGAACGGGUGAGGAACACGUGAGAAAUCUGCCCCGAACUUCGGAAUAACAGUUGGAAACGACUGCUAAUACCGGAUGCCUUCAUUUGACCGCAUGGUUGUUUGAAGAAAGAUUUAUCGGUUUGGGAGGGUCUCGCGGCCUAUCAGCUUGUUGGAGAGGUAACGGCUCACCAAGGCUUCGACGGGUAGCUGGUCUGAGAGGAUGAUCAGCCACACUGGGACUGAGACACGGCCCAGACUCC